AUUGAACGCUGGCGGCAGGCUUAACACAUGCAAGUCGAGCGGAGAUGAGGUGCUUGCACCUUAUCUUAGCGGCGGACGGGUGAGUAAUGCUUAGGAAUCUGCCUAUUAGUGGGGGACAACAUUCCGAAAGGAAUGCUAAUACCGCAUACGUCCUACGGGAGAAAGCAGGGGAUCUUCGGACCUUGCGCUAAUAGAUGAGCCUAAGUCGGAUUAGCUAGUUGGUGGGGUAAAGGCCUACCAAGGCGACGAUCUGUAGCGGGUCUGAGAGGAUGAUCAGCCACACUGGGACUUGGACACGGCCCAGACUACUACGGGAGGCAGCAGUGGGGAAUAUUGGACAAUGGGGGGAACCCUGAUCCAGCCAUGCCGCGUGUGUGAAGAAGGCCUUAUGGUUGUAAAGCACUUUAAGCGAGGAGGAGGCUACUGAGACUAAUACUCUUGGAUAGUGGACGUUACUCGCAGAAUAAGCACCGGCUAACUCUGUGCCAGCCGCCGCCGUAA
rnacentral:rRNA from 1 species